rnacentral:rRNA from 1 species
GAGGACGACGCUGGCGGCGUGCUUAACACAUGCAAGUCGAACGGUGACGAGGAGCUUGCUCCUCUGAUCAGUGGCGAACGGGUGAGUAACACGUGAGCAACCUGCCCCAGACUCUGGGAUAACAGUUGGAAACAGCUGCUAAUACCGGAUACGAGACGGAGAGGCAUCUCUACCGUCUGGAAAGUUUUUCGGUCUGGGGAUGGACUCGCGGCCUAUCAGCUAGUUGGUGAGGUAAUGGCUCACCAAGGCGACGACGGGUAGCCGGCCUGAGAGGGCGACCGGCCACACUGGGACUGAGACACGGCCCAGACUCCUACGGGAGGCAGCAGUGGGGAAUAUUGCACAAUGGGCGAAAGCCUGAUGCAGCGACGCCGCGUGAGGGAUGACGGCCUUCGGGUUGUAAACCUCUUUCAGCAGGGAAGAAGCGAAAGUGACGGUACCUGCAGAAGAAGCACCGGCUAACUACGUG